rnacentral:rRNA from 1 species
UGGGGAAUUUUGGACAAUGGGCGCAAGCCUGAUCCAGCCAUGCCGCGUGCGGGAAGAAGGCCUUCGGGUUGUAAACCGCUUUUGUCAGGGAAGAAAUCUUCUGAGUUAAUACCUUGGGAGGAUGACGGUACCUGAAGAAUAAGCACCGGCUAACUACGUGCCAGCAGCCGCGGUAAUACGUAGGGUGCAAGCGUUAAUCGGAAUUACUGGGCGCAAAGCGUGCGCAGGCGGUUUUGUAAGACAGAGGUGAAAUCCCCGGGCUCAACCUGGGAACUGCCUUUGUGACUGCAAGGCUUGAGUGCGGCAGAGGGGGAUGGAAUUCCGCGUGUAGCAGUGAAAUGCGUAGAUAUGCGGAGGAACACCGAUGGCGAGGGCAAUCCCCUGGGCCUGCACUGACGCUCAUGCACGAAAGCGUGGGGAGCAAACAGGAUUAGAUAGCCUGGUAGUCCACGCCCUAAACGAUGUCAACUGGUUGUUGGGAAGGUUCCUUCUCAGUAACGUAGCUAACGCGUGAAGUUGACCGCCUGGGGAGUACGGCCGCAAGGUUGAAACUCAAAUGAAUUGACGGGGUCAUAGCUGUUUCCUG